CUGAAGUGUGGGAGAUGCAUUCGAUCGAUAAUAGCGGGCAAGGCGCUGACGGCGUGCGACUUGCCGAUUUCAACC
rnacentral:tRNA from 1 species